ACAAGACACAGUCUUCGACUUGCUCCCGCCGCGCCCCGUCGAUCCCGCGGGAUCCUAAGGUAGAGCAAGGUACGCGACACGAAGUAGUUGCUAAUUUGCCGAAAUACGGAACAGUGCUUCGUGACGACGCGAGUAUCCUGUAACAACCGGAAUCGACGCGUUACGGCUCCAUCCGAAGUUUUAACUCUUUGCGGACGAAGAUUCUUUAAAGAACACAAAUCUUCAGCACAUUCGGCUAAAUUAUACAUCGGAUUCUUAAAUUAUGCACUGAUCCCUUGCUAUUCGAGUUAUUACAUCAUUCGUUCGCAACUCAGUAUUCGGAAUAUGAAAGUUUGAUCCCAGCAAACGUCGACAUUUGUCCGGAAAGGGUUAAACACGGCGUGUUCGAUAUGUGAUUGUUAAACGUAACGAUUAAAAUUGAAUAACAUCGAUUCGCCGUGUAAAUGAAACUCCAUCGACCGUAUAAGUCUGAAGUGCGUCGCGUGACAGACCAGUAUUCGGAAUAAACAGGAUUAAUUAAUAUAAUUCGCGAUAUUUUCCAAACGGGCACGAUCGCGAGAAUAAAUAAACGGUUGAUUCAAACGGAAAGUUGAGUGGAACGACGUGCAGCAAGAUGUAGGCGAUGCAGCGAGCCAGCAGCGGAAUCAAUGGAGGGCAUCAUGAGAGAAUAACGCGCGGUAAAGCAGGCGAGAUACCAACCGACAAAGUUUCCCGGAGAACAAGAUCCGGAAUAAUCCAGGAACGCGGAGCAAUACAAACGGAAAGUUUCCGCACGUGAAGAAUACCCGGGAACGAGGCUGGCGAGGCACGAGGAAAUAAGAAAGGCAGAAGAAAGGGAGGAGAUAGGGAGGAGAAAGAGGUCGAAAGGCUGAGGGACGGACCGACUGAAAGAGGAAUAACACAGAAAAUACAUUUGCCUAUCUCCAUGGGACAGACGCUCGAUUCGAAAUCGAGUCUCAAGGACAGAUCAAGUGGCACUGCAAGAGAAAUAAUAAGGGCGGAGCCAGGGAAAAGGCUAUCAGAAAAAGCAGCGAGAGGGUGCGAACGGCCAGGAACAGGGGAUUCGAGUAAUGCCGGCGAGGAGAGAAAAGCAGGAGAGCCGGCGCGCGAGCUGCAAGAAACAAAUUGCAGCGAAUGGGAGCAAGGGCGGCGAACGGCCAGCCGUCGCCAAUAAAACAGAGGGAGGAUAUGACAACGGUUCGCUGUACGAUGCAUUAUCGAAGCAAGAGGGUAUCUUUAUGCCGCACGGAAUUGCGCAGCGCAUGGCGAACUUCGCCAUAAGCUUCAUUGCGUAAUCCUGAAACAUUUUAUUGCGCGUGGGAACGAUGUACGUCAUGUACCGCAUCGGUUUUAACAAGGAUACCGGCAACGUAACUGUUUGCGCUCGUGUCUUUCAAUAAAACCGUUCCGCGAUUUAUCCAAGGUAUUCCGGACGAAACGGACUGGGAAAAACUGCCGACCACGGAUUUACGGUAAAAAUCAUCCACUCCUUUUUUACUCGAGCCGGAGGAAUCGCCGGCGUGUAUUAGACUCGAUGGAUUGGAAUGAUCUUCGGGAAUGAAAGUGUGGAAACGGUUGCGCCGACUAAUUGGAGCUAACUUUUUCGGACGCGGGUAAUUUCGAGGGGAAUUAUUCUGUGAUGCAUUGAUGAUGAAUGAUGUUCUGUAAAAUUAUUUUAAAUUGUAAAUGUCUAAUUUAGGAAAGAAUAGGGAAUUUAAUUUUUGGAUUUGUGCUGUACAUGUUUGAAAUGUUACAUUAACACUUUGCUGAAGAUUGUUGAAAGUAUGCAAAAUAGUGGAAUUAUUUUGUGAUGUUUCUCGAUUUAUUUUGAAAUGGAUCGAUUUUAUUGUAAAAUUGUAUUAAAUAGGGAAUUUUGUAAUUUCUGGAUUUGUGCUGUACAUAUUUGAAACGUUACUUAACCCUUUGCUGAAAAUUGUUGAAAGUAUGCAAAACCUUUGCAGAUUCUGAAUGAAACACUGAAUGCUUAAAUCAUAGACAACGGAGAAAGUGUAAUGAUUUCUUGAUGUUCGAGGGAUUAAAUCAUUUGUUCACGACUUGGUUUUCCAAAUACAAUUUUAUCUCGCUAGAAUGCCGACACUCACAAAGGGUUAACGUAGGAUUAGCAAUUAAACAAUAGACUAGAAACCUUGCAUUAAUGUGUUAAUGUUCAUUAACUGUAAACCUACCGAGUUUAUAGAAACUACAAGAGGAUCUACCAAAACGAUUUAUCAUUCACUUUAAUCAUUGAUCGAGAAACAUCUGAUAUCUAAUAACUCUCCAAUGAAGAAGUCUAUUAUAAAUUACAUGAUAAUAACCGUGUUCAUGCGAACAGCGUUUAAGUCGAUAAUUCAGGACCCAAAAUUACGCAGCACCCCACUCGAGGAUAUCGGUUAAUAGAUUAGUGUCGCCAUUCCGUUGCGCGUGGGCGUAUAAUGCAUCAAUUGCUAUUGAGAAGGGCGCGACUAGAUUGUUUCCCUCCCUCUGUUAUUUUCCAGCCCUAAUCGAAUCCUUCGAGGAAAGUCCUCGAAGGCAAACAUGCGAGCAAUAAACGCGCAGUUCUAGAUACGCGGCGGACCGAAUUCAACGAGUUAAUCGUUUAUUCCGUUUUAUGGGGGGCAAGGCAGAGAAUGGGGAGUUCUGGGGUCGCUGCGUCAUUCUGGGGCUACAGAAAAUUCUAAGGCGCGAGUUCUUGUCGCGAAUGCGACGAGAACGAUGGAAGAUACGAGGAAUCGACCAUUUUUGCUAUCGUUCCUCCAGUUCACGUGGAAGGGAAACAUCGGUUCAUCUGUGAACUUGGCCCUUUGCACAGGGGUGACUCUCGGUCACUUGAUUCGAUACAAGGUGAGUUGAAUAUUUAUUUUAAAUGGAACUUUGCACUGCUUUGUGAACUAUUUAAAUAGAAUUGUUAGAUUGGUUUCAAACUUUGAUUGAAUAUUUAUAGUGAAAAAUACUGCAAUAAAUAAACAAACCAUUUCUUUCGCUACUGUGAAAUUCAUUCACCAUUGUACAUCAACCGCUCGCGACCGGUGCCGACAAGAUGGCGACACUUCGUUCUCGACUGGUACCAAGAUGGCGGCAUCUUGGUUCCUGAGUGCGUUUUACGAUAGAGAGGUAUUGUUUCUUAAUCUUUACAGUGUUUAUAUUCAACAAAUCUUUAAUAUCUAUGUAUCUGUUAUAAUCCACCUCUAGAAGAAUAACUUUGAAAGUAUAUAUAUCUGCUUCGACUAGCUGGUAAUGUCGCCAGAAAAAUCUACCGAUCGUAAGAGGUUAAUGACGGUCAUUAACCUCUAUAGAAACUCUAAGAGCGCAUCUAUCGAGACUUUAAUCGAUUUAUCAUUCAGUUCGAACGUUGAUAAAUCAAUUGAAUAAUUUCUCAGAGAAACAUCUGUUAUCUAAUGAUCGUGCAAUGAAGAAUGGACGUUUUGCCCAAUGUUGCUCUUUAACACUGGAACCAUUCACACGUUCGCAACGGGAUGUACCACCGGUGGUACAUGCGUCCAG